UAAGGGCACCACAAGAACGCGUGGAGCAUGUGGCUUAAUUUGACUCAACGCGGGAAAUCUUACCGGGUCCGGACACACUGAGGAUUGACAGGCAAUAUUAAUACUUUGCUUCGGCAUUGUAUUAUGUUAAAUAUGCUAGUCCUUUCAUGAUUAUGUGAUAGGUGGUGCAUGGCCGUUCUUAGUUCGUGGAGUGAUCUGUCUGCUUAAUUGCGUUUCACUAAGGGCCUAUAAAUUUACGUAUGUUGUAUCGCACUUUGACCCCUUUCUUUAAUUAGAAAGCGCGUGUCUUAGUUUCGCUUUGCUCAUACAAUUAGGUCCUGAAAGCAACGAACGUGACCGCAACCUCUUGUUGCCUUUAUACCAAACAUGUUUAUUCAUUUUUUAAUGUUCAUUCAUGAAAAAAGGCUUUUUAAACUAGAGGGACCGCUGUUACUUUCUUAAACCAGAGGAAGGUUGCGGCARKAACAGGUCUGUGAUGCCCUUAGAUGUUCCGGGCUGCACACGUGCUACAAUGAUUAUUGCAGUGAGCAUCUCAUUUUUACACACCGCAUGCGCGAGUCCAUUUAUUCACCUUCGGGUGUUUUAAAUGUGUACCUCUGCGCGCGGUAAAGCCUGCUUCGAAAGUAAGUGGGUAAUCAAUUAGAAGUAAUGAUUUCCUUUUUUAGCACACAUAUAUACGGCGUCUAUGCCCGGGUUACCUUGUUGUAGCUUUUGUGUGUAUAGAUGUUUUUUCCGUAUGUGCGAUUGUCAAUUCAUGGUGGGGACAGACCAUUGUUAAUUGUUGGUCUCGGUCUUAACUAGGAAUGCCUUGUACGGGUCUUUGGUUCAACAAACCACCCGGAAUACGUCCCUGCCCUUUGUACACACCGCCCGUCGCUCUUACCGAUGGACUUCUCUGUGAGUUUGAGGGACUGGGAACGCAGGAAUUWA
rnacentral:rRNA from 1 species